GAGAGGUGCUUGCACCUCUUGAGAGCGGCGGACGGGUGAGUAAUGCCUAGGAAUCUGCCUGGUAGUGGGGGAUAACGCUCGGAAACGGACGCUAAUACCGCAUACGUCCUACGGGAGAAAGCAGGGGACCUUCGGGCCUUGCGCUAUCAGAUGAGCCUAGGUCGGAUUAGCUAGUUGGUGAGGUAAUGGCUCACCAAGGCGACGAUCCGUAACUGGUCUGAGAGGAUGAUCAGUCACACUGGAACUGAGACACGGUCCAGACUCCUACGGGAGGCAGCAGUGGGGAAUAUUGGACAAUGGGCGAAAGCCUGAUCCAGCCAUGCCGCGUGUGUGAAGAAGGUCUUCGGAUUGUAAAGCACUUUAAGUUGGGAGGAAGGGCCAUUACCUAAUACGUGAUGGUUUUGACGUUACCGACAGAAUAAGCACCGGCUAACUCUGUGCCAGCAGCCGCGGUAAUACAGAGGGUGCAAGCGUUAAUCGGAAUUACUGGGCGUAAAGCGCGCGUAGGUGGUUCGUUAAGUUGGAUGUGAAAG
rnacentral:rRNA from 2 species